rnacentral:tRNA from 1 species
GAGGGUGUAGCUCAGUGGUAGAGUGCAUGCCUAGCAUGCAUUAAGGUCCUGAGUUCAAUUCCCAGUACUUCCA